CCGAUAAUAGCUCAGUUGGAAGAGCAUCUGACUGUAAUGGUACCAGUUAUCAGGAGGUCCCCGGUUCGAACCCGGGUUGUCGGA